AGGCAGAAAGAAAAACAGAAUCCUGUCUGAUCCAAUUAAUGGUUGAUUUACAAUACAAUAAAAAGGUAAAAACUGAAGUGUCUGAAUUAAUUAAUGUCUUAUUUUCUACAAUCAGUAUCACUGAAUAUGGAAUCAAAUUUGUACCUAAACUAGGUUUAGACUUUAGACAUUCUCCAUUCAUUGUGACUGUGGUUCUUCUGCAGACUCACACUUGCUCCUGACAAGUCAUGAUAGUUGAUAUUUAAGUAAAGCAUAUUGAAUCACAAAAAUGCUUAUAUUGAUCACACAAAAAAGUUUAACAUUAAACUUUUUGUCGUUGCAAUUAACUCACUUGGAUGGUUGUGAAUCAAGCUGCAUUGUUACUGGGCCAUCGUUGACCAAAUUAACCUUGCAAAAAAAAUAAAAUUCAGUUCAGUCCACUGCGACUGAAAGAUUCUAUUACAAAUAAAACUUUGAAAGUAGGUCAUUACCUUCAUCAUGGCCGCGAAGACACCAUCUGCAUUUCACAUAUAAAUGUACAGUUAAUAGAAUUAUAAGUGGAAUCCCAAAUGGAACAAUCUAAAUAAAACAGUAUAAUAUACACUAGGAUGCAUCCAGUUUAGCACUUCACAGUUCACACCUACAAUCCUCAUUAAAUUAUCCAACUUGUCAGAAUGACCAUCUAGAACCUAGGUAAAGUUACACUGUUUCAGUCAACACAUUCGUACUUUUAAAGCUUUCCCUUCAUUCUGUUUUACUGUAGAAUUAUAUAUUCACCUCUCGUUCAUUCUUUUUUAGUACAGGAAUUAUAUAGAAACAAAGAAGAACGUUUUAAUCAAAUCAUGUAUAAACUCUCCAUAAGAGGGUUCUGUAUUAUUUCAAAUACCCAAUAAGACUCCAUAAUCUCUCUGCAUGACCUGCAAAUUCCAGAAACUCUCGCUUCAGUGUAAACAGUGUCAAAAUGAGCAUAUAAAAACAAGGCUAAACAAAGUUUCGAUCUAUUUAACUGUCCAUCAUUAUGUAUUCAAAAAUGCAAGACAAGAAGAUUUGAAAGCAUGAUGUCUACAUUUCAUUAUACUGAUUUAGUAUCCGCCAGUAGUAAAUAUGCAGACAACACAAUACGAAAGCUGCAGAAUUGUAUCUUUAUGCCUCAGUUUCAUGUAUGUCUUACAUUCUUACAUAGAUUAUAGCACCACAAUCUUAUUAAAAGGAGAAGGAAAAGGAAGUAACAUUUCAUCUAAAAGGAAAUGCUUUUUUUCAGUACCUAACAAUGCAAUGACAAGUUAAUGUGCUGAUGAAGGAAACUAUGUUGAAAGUAGGUACUGAUUGCACUAUGUGGCGCGGCAAACAAGUUGUCAGUUUUCUAUUGUUUCAUACAAAGAAUGUGAUAAUUAGUAGUUGGGGAACAAUUUUGUAGAACAAGUCAAAGUAAAAUUAGUGAUUCUUAAUUUGAUUAGGUUUAAACUGGCCGAGCAGAUUGAUCAUGCAUAAAGUUUGCUUCUAGCUAGGUUGUGCUGCAUGACAGUGGUUCAAUUGGACAAUAAC
rnacentral:lncRNA from 1 species